AUUUUUCGGCAAUGGGGCCAACCCUGCCCGAGGGACCCCGCGUGAGUGAAAAAGUUCNNNGGAUUNUCAACCUUUGUUGUAGGNGACNAACGUUACCGGUAGGGAUGAACUGUUACCUGACGGUACUUUACAAGAAGGCAACGCCUACCUAGGUGCCAGCAGCCGCGGUAAUACGUAGGUGGCAAGCGUUAUCCGGAAUUAUUGGGCGUAAAGGGAGCGCAGGCGGCUUAUUAAGUCUGAGGUUAAAGUUCGGGGCUCAACCCCGUGAUGCCUUAGAAACUGGUAGGCUAGAGUGCAGGAGAGGUGAGUGGAAUUCCAUGUGUAGCGGUAAAAUGCGUAGAUAUAUGGAGGAACACCAGUGGCGAAGGCGGCUCACUGGCCUGUAACUGACGCUGAGGCUCGAAAGCGUGGGGAGCAAAU
rnacentral:rRNA from 1 species